rnacentral:tRNA from 1 species
AAAGUGUUAGUUUAUAUAGAAUAGAGAAUUGUAAAUUCUUUGGAUUUUACUUUG